GCCUAGAGCCUAUGUCAAAGGUCCUUACCCUGCCGUGAGCCAGUGUAGCCGAUGUAUUUGUGCUUCAGGUUGUAUUAAGACUUCUGGACGCCAAGUGCACUCUGCUCACCUCCCAAGAAGUAGCCACAAAGAGCUAACAUCACGACAAGAAUCAGGGCAAGAACACUCUAGAUGUCAAACGGCAAACUCUAAAUCUGGCUUCUUUCCCACCUGCUCUCCUAGAACAUCUUUGCUUGUCCAAAAGCUCAAGAAAAAAAAGUUUCCAGGAGAAUUUCUUUUGGCAGUGCCAGGUAGGUAGGCAGUAUAAAUUGCUUUUGUGCUCUUUCCAAACACAAAGGUCUUUUCCAAACAAAAACCUUUGUUUAGUCGACUGUAAAUGUUGCGGCUUAAAUUUUCUUUAUCUUCCUGGCUCAGUUUUGUAUAGUAACACUUGCAAACUGAGGAGGUCGACUCUUUUAAAGAUGAGGACAAAUUUGCUCAAUAGAAGUGGAAGAAAUCACCAGGUAGGAACAACUCUGCUCUGCGUCAACAGUUUACCGAUAUGCCCUAGGUUUGCUGGGAUGAGCCUAAGGCAAACGGUCCGCAUAUAAAGGAGAGUGGAAUCCAGUGCACCCACUAAAAGACGCCUCACAGCGAUUAACAGCGGCAUGACCUGAGUGUUAUAAACAUGAAGGCACAGUUUUGGAACUGAGCAGCCAUUGGGCCAUAAUCUAUGGAGGAGAAGUGUGUUUUCAGAGCACAGCAAACAAGAGCUGCCACAGAGGGCUGCAGGAGCCUCAGAAGGCUGAGCUCUGCUGCAGUGCAAGCCAGCGGUGGAAUGUUCUCUGCUCCUCGGGAAGAUUUAAAAACAGACAAGGAGGACCAUGGAGAAGAAGGCUGUUUGCUCAAACGACCAAGCAGGCAGGUCAUGAACACUGGCAACCCUCCCGAAUUCCUCUGUGGACCAAGCUGGAAUGUGGUGAUGGAGAAAGGAAGCCGACCCCUCA
rnacentral:lncRNA from 1 species